GAAAGGUACUUGGCUACACUCUCUAUAAUCAAAGGUUAUUUAAUAUUUUGAAUAAAAUUUCAUUCCAUAUAUUUGAUUCACACAUUAAGAAGGACCCAAAAGGAAAAAAGUAAUUAAAAUGAAAGAUGCAUAUAUCCCUAUUUCCUUCAAUAAACUUUGAAUAGCUGGAAGAGGGUUAUUCAAAUGUGAAUUCCUUUCCUCUUCUUCUUUGUUUUUCUUGUAUUAUGAUGAUUUCUCACUUGGUUUGAUCCUAGAUGCAGAACAAAUUGGAAGCACAAAACAAGAGUAGGCGUAAAUAUCUGAGCCUAUUCAAAACCUUUAUAAAGAACAUUUUUUCUUUAUUAUGAUCUUAUUUUCUACCAUAGGUUAAUGGUCUACAGCUUAACAUCAAAUUUUUUCCUGUGGCUGGAAGCAUACACAGUUUUAGUGGAAUUUCUUUGUACAUUGUGUUAUGUUCCCAUUGCUUGCUGUUACAAACUUGGGAAAAAUAUUUUUUUGGCCAUUUUGUCUCACAUCUUAUUUCCAAUUUGCUUCAAAGUCUUUACAUGAAAAAUGCCUUGCCCAAGCGACACCCGUGAGAAGCAGGUACAACUUUGGAAGGAUCUUAUUCUUGACUACUGUAGAACACAAAAGAUAUUUGUGAUUGGACUGGAAGAAGAUUUUUUGCUAUUUUCAAAUCCUGUGAUUGAAAGUAAGUCCUUUGUUUUUGUUAGUUUCUAAUUUGGUCAUUGGAAUUUGUGUUUUUGAGUCCUAGAAACUGUUUGACAUAUCAGUACCCUAUAAGCAUGGCCAUUGUACAUUUUGUCAUUGAAAUUGGCAGAAUGCCCUUCAUUCUAGUGGACGGACUUGCACUUCAUUCAUAAAAGUUCAAAUUUUUUGGCAUUCUAGUAUUUUGGGGUUGGAGCAGAUCAGUUCUCCAUUUUGGAGGUUUCCUUCUUAACUAUUUUUUUCCCACCCAGCAAUAAUUAAUAAGUUAGUAAGGGGUGUUCCAAAUUGAAGAUGACAUCAAAUUGGGGAUAUCUUCUUCUGGGGUCUUUGAUUGUUUAGUGAAAUUUAAUUGGGGUAGGUUGCAAAAGAAAAUCUAAUGAAUUAAUGAGAUUACUCAAAAGAAAAUCUAAUAGUAUUUGUCAGCAACUAAUUAGUAUUAAAACCUAGUGAUAUAGGUUUCAUCAAAUAGCAAUUAUCAGUAUGAUAUCACAGCAAUAUUAAUGAUGCCAUUCCUUAGCCCUUAUUAGCCAGUAGCCUCCUAGUACUAAAACAUAAUCCAUAUUCCCAUUGCAGGUUUACUUCGACCAAACCAAUUAAAUCUCAACCUAGUCAAGCAUGCGUUUAAUUAAAUAAAAUGAAAAAUUGAAGAAUCAAUUGCCUUGUUCUACACUGCUACUCUGGUAAGACAAUUCACUAUCACACUCACAUUGUGUAGGUCCCACAUACAGUACAUAUGAUUUAUGUGAACCUUUUCUCUUUAAGAAAAUAAAAGUGGGGUGGGGAGCGUCGUGGAGAACCUUUAAAGUUUAAAUUCUUGUUAAUAAUAAUUGUCUCUCUAACAAGUUUUCAACAAGAAGAUAUCACGAUUAGACCAAAUCACUAAGUCCACCAAACCAUCAAACGCAGGAGAUGGUAUGUUGGAUCACCUUUUUGUUUAACAUUUUUAUAUAGUUUUUUUUUUGCCUCUUCCCUCUCUAUCUCUCUAAUCUAUAUGUGAAAUGAGCAACAUGCAAUUGGUGUUCAAACUUCAAAGUCUCAACUCUCAAGUCUCAGGGACAAGUUCAAUUCAAUAUAUUUUGAGGCAUAAAACAGUACAAAUCGAAGAACAAGGACCAACAAACCGUGGUGAUCAUAUCAGGUUCAGUAGUUUUUGGGGUUCUUUUGUUGGUAUAUAUCAAUCAGCUGGUUGUUGAUUUGGAAAAGUACCUUCCACAGAAGCAACGGUAAGUACAUGAACACUUCUUUUAUUCUCUAUGUCCUCUAAUUGUAAAAAUUUUAAAAAGUUAAAACUCGUCAUUGUGUCCAAACAUGAAAUUUAAACUGUCAAUUAAUAUAGUCCAAACCUGAAAUUUAAA